AUUGGACGCUGGCGGCAGGCCUAACACAUGCAAGUCGAGCGGAUGAAGGGAGCUUGCUCCUGGAUUCAGCGGCGGACGGGUGAGUAAUGCCUAGGAAUCUGCCUGGUAGUGGGGGAUAACGUCCGGAAACGGGCGCUAAUACCGCAUACGUCCUGAGGGAGAAAGUGGGGGAUCUUCGGACCUCACGCUAUCAGAUGAGCCUAGGUCGGAUUAGCUAGUUGGUGGGGUAAAGGCCUACCAAGGCGACGAUCCGUAACUGGUCUGAGAGGAUGAUCAGUCACACUGGAACUGAGACACGGUCCAGACUCCUACGGGAGGCAGCAGUGGGGAAUAUUGGACAAUGGGCGAAAGCCUGAUCCAGCCAUGCCGCGUCUGUGAAGAAGGUCUUCGGAUUGUAAAGCACUUUAAGUUGGGAGGAAGGGCAGUAAGUUAAUACCUUGCUGUUUUGACGUUACCAACAGAAUAAGCACCGGCUAACUUCGUG
rnacentral:rRNA from 1 species